CACAGCUAUAAUAGGAAUAAAGACACAAUUAGUCAUUGUUGUUUAAAUGUGGCUAGGUAAAAGUGUUGAACACGCGUGUCUGUGUGUACGCGGUCAAAGUUAGCCGACGGCCUACAGAGAGAAGAUAACAGUUUGUAAUUCCAGGCAGUUUCUACGGCUAACCUCAAUCGCAAAAUUAUCAUAUUCGCAGGGAGACUAUUUUAAAUAGUCAUUCUAGAAAACCAUGACACAGAUGUACCAAUUCUCUUUUACAUUGCCUGGCACGUUAGCUGUCGUCUGAGUGGAAAAAAAAAAAGAAAGAGCUGAGACGAAAAGCGGGCGAUAUGCUCUUCCGUCUCAAUGAUGUUUCAUCAUCGAGGCGUACAAGAGGCGAUAUUUGAGGCCAACCGUGUGCCAAUGUAUAUCGCUGAGUACAUACAAUAGAAUUUUCUGUUGUUUUGCCAAUUUCUCUUGUUCUCGUACCAAAUCAAAAACCAAAAGAUGAUUGCAAGCGCUGCUGACGACCAAUUAAUCCCCUCGUUAUAUCGGAAAUCCACGAAGUGAACUGUGUAGCAGAAACCGGUCAAUCGGCCCGCUUGAUGCAAAAGUGCCCAGGCUACUGCUACUCGUAGCGUUUUUGAGUUUUUUGAACCAGACGAAUAGUAGAAUGAAGAAGAGGAACUGAAAAACAGCAACAGCGAACUCUGUCCUUCUUCCCAGGAAAGCUUUGAUCCGAAAGUCUUCGAAAUCAACCUGCCCCUAAAAGUUGCCAAAACUACUUUGCAUUUUUAACAGCGGCCGUGAGUGAAUCAACAGUGUGUUUGAACUCAUAGGCACAUCAUCCGCGCGUGCGUACCCAGACAAGUUCACACAAACCGCGUAUUUUUAAGACACAAAAAAGGGAGGGAAUCUGAACAGAAAACCCGGCUAACUUACAUCUUCUCCGUACCGACUUUUUAUGAAGUAGCACCUCAGCGGUUCGCUCGACUUUAAAAUCUCUCCGAAGUUAUAACCCAUUCCCUUCUAACAUCAGACGCAUCAAACCCCUUUGAUCGCAGUGCCCUGACAAUUUUUCGUAGGCCAACCUUCUUCUUCCGACGUUGUCUGCCGCCUUUGGAAAGUUCGCCCUGCACUUUGUUCUCUGCUGCGCUCUGCCAACCAACAUCCUCUACCAUUUUCCAGGCCACGUGCCUCAAGCCUGUCUCGUAAAGCCUCCUUCGUCGCCUUCCCAGUUCUCUUCUGGAUGUGGAUUUCCAAAAAUACAACAGUACAAUUUUUCCGACGAGCAGCGCCCGCCUACCGUUUUCUGCUCUUGAGACUCGCUCUCGAUUUUCUCAACGUUUUCAGUGUUUAAACAUCCCCUUCCGGACACCUUUCACAUUCUUCCAGUUUCGUUGGGUAAUUGAAAAGUUUGCACUGUGUCGUUCAACAUGAGAGCGUGACGACAAACGCCGAAGACGCGAAGCAAAGGGAAAAGAGGUUAAGCUAGACCGAAUGAAUUUGCUCGACCGACAGCUAACAGGCCGACCAAGCUGGCCUGUACAAGUCGUGUUGGCUUCUCGGUGCCAACGACAUGAUGGCGUAAGUUCAUCUGACGAUACGCGAAGCCAACUAAUGUCUAAAUCGACACCCUAAAGAGUGGCAGGAUAACUU